UUUGUAAUUUCAAAAGGGAUGCAGUUUUAUUUGACUUUUUAAAACUGAUUUCAUCAGAUAACAUACUCUAAAUAAAUUGCAUGCAUAUGAUUAAAAUACAGUUGUAAUAAUAUUCACUAUGGGCAACAUUUCCAAAAUCACUGAAACUCAGGAAAGUUUUUCAUUCUUUGAGUGAGAUAUCCCUAUGUGCCGAUUUCAUCUGAAACCAAUUUAAUUCACUAAUUCACAUCUGAAAGUGGGUGUGAUUUACUUUCCUUAAUCAAAAGCAAACAAAACAAACUGGAAAGAACAGAAAACUGAGGCUAUCUCAUGUAAUUAAAGGAAGUAUUAUUUUAUGAAAAUUUAUUUUGUGUGUGUGUGUGAAAUUCCAUGACAUGUAUACUAGUUUGCAGUGUAACAUCUAUAUCUCACCGUGAGAAAGUGGUCAAAAGUAAUUGGAAAACAGCCCUGGUUGUUUUCAUGGAUUGGCCUUCAUUGGUCUUGAUUACUUACAUGAUUGCUAAAUUGAGAUCAGGAGCAAAGGAGCAGCUACCAGAGCCCGGAUUGCCUUCAGACCAGUAUGGACCUGCAGGGCUGCAGGCCAUUCAUCUUGAAAAAGAGCUACAUCGGUGUGAAAUUGUUCAGUGAUGAAACCUACUUUAGGAGCUGCCGCUGCUGGGUGAGAAGAGCUUCCAGCUUGAAAGUCUGCUCUCAGAGGAAGAGUCCUGGGGACCUGCAACAUCCAUGUGAAAUCGUGUGUUUCCACGAGAUUGACCUACAGUCCCCUGUCACCAGUAUCACCUGGGAUUCUGCUCACUGUCACAUGUCAUACUCACAGUCAUGAUGAGAUCACUACCCAGCUCUGAGCACCAGGAGGACCUCGGCAUGUCUAAAACCAAUCUUAAGGCCAAGUGCAGAGCCUUAGGGACAGAGUUAGAGAAACAGCUGCAGCCAGAAGCCUGAGCUGCUGAGUGGCUGCUGUGGAAGAAGGCUCAGCAAUGAAGCAAGGAGCAAGGGAACCAGCAAUGAGGAGGAGAGAGAUGCAGGAGCCAGGGAAGUUCCCAGAGCCAUGGAGCACCCAGCAGAGUAUCAGGGAGGCACCGAGGACCCAUGAGCUGACCAUGGCUGGAUGGAAGGCCCUAGGACCAGCACGGCUAAGCCCCAGGGAGCAAUGUCAUGGAAAGCCAGGACUCAUGAAGUAGCAUGACAGUCAAGGGCAUGGGAGGCAGAGAUAGAGCUACUUGCUGAAAACUACAUGUUCAAUGGAGAAAAAUCUCCCGCUCCCAGGAGAGAACUGUCUUGCCACCUGGGAUCCUGAAGCUUCCACCUUGGCACCCCUGAUGCUUAGACGGGGUAGAAGGCUUAUUAAGCAUCUGUAACAGCUUUAGGAUUCCCGUGCAUGAUCUCAGGAGAUUGGACUUCUGGCAGAGACAGUGGACAUCUGGGGCCGCAGCCCCGAGGCCAGGAUCAAACCCACAACCUCAAGGUUCCUUAUCAGAUUCGUUUCUGCUGCACCACUGCAGGAACUCCCAUAAGGUUCUUAAUUAAAGAGGAAGAGACCAGAGUGGGCGAUCCCCUCUCCUCUCCUUUCCUCUCCCUUCUCUCCCCUGCCCCACACCCCUCUUUAUCUGCCUUGAAAGAACACAAUUAGAAGGCAGCCGGGAAGAGAAACCUCACCAAUAAUCAGAAAUGUGGCUCCUUGAGCUCAGACUUCUAGCAUCCAGAAUUGUGAGAAAUAAAUGUCUGCUGCUUAAGCCAUUCAAUCCAUGGUAUUUUGUUUUAGUAGACUGAGCUGCUAAAGACAUGGAGUAAUAAAAGUGAAGAGUGGGAGUUCCUGUCUGUGGGGCAGCAGAAUCUGACUAGGAAAC